rnacentral:rRNA from 1 species
AUUGAACGCUGGCGGCAGGCUUAACACAUGCAAGUCGAGCGAGCGGCGGACGGGUGAGUAAUGUCUGGGAAACUGCCUGAUGGAGGGGGAUAACUACUGGAAACGGUAGCUAAUACCGCAUACCAUCAGAUGUGCCCAGAGGGGAUUAGCUACUAGGUGGGGUAAUUGCUCACCUAGGCGACGAUCCCUAGCUGGUCUGAGAGGAUGACCAGCCACACGGGAACGGAUACACGGUCCAGACUCCGACGGUAGUCAGCAGUGGGGAAUAUUGCACAAUGGGCGCAAUCCUGAUGCAGCCAUGCCGCGUGUGUGAAGAAGGCCUUCGGGUUGUAAAGCACUGUCAGCGAGGAGGCGUUACUCGCAGAAGAAGCACCGGCUAACUCCGUGCCAGCAGCCGCGGUAAUAC